GAUGAACGCUGGCGGCGUGCCUAAUACAUGCAAGUCGAGCGAACGGACGAGAAGCUUGCUUCUCUGAUGUUAGCGGCGGACGGGUGAGUAACACGUGGAUAACCUACCUAUAAGACUGGGAUAACUUCGGGAAACCGGAGCUAAUACCGGAUAAUAUUUUGAACCGCAUGGUUCAAAAGUGAAAGACGGUCUUGCUGUCACUUAUAGAUGGAUCCGCGCUGCAUUAGCUAGUUGGUAAGGUAACGGCUUACCAAGGCAACGAUGCAUAGCCGACCUGAGAGGGUGAUCGGCCACACUGGAACUGAGACACGGUCCAGACUCCUACGGGAGGCAGCAGUAGGGAAUCUUCCGCAAUGGGCGAAAGCCUGACGGAGCAACGCCGCGUGAGUGAUGAAGGUCUUCGGAUCGUAAAACUCUGUUAUUAGGGAAGAACAUAUGUGUAAGUAACUGUGCACAUCUUGACGGUACCUAAUCAGAAAGCCACGGCUAACUACGUGCCAGCAGCCGCGGCAAUACGUAGGUGGCAAGCGUUAUCCGGAAUUAUUGGGCGUAAAGCGCGCGUAGGCGGUUUUUUAAGUCUGAUGUGAAAGCCCACGGCUCAACCCGUGGAGGGUCAUUGGAAACUGGAAAACUUGAGUGCAAAAGAGGAAAGUGGAAUUCCCUGUGUAGCGGUGAAAUGCCCAAAGAUAUGGAGGACCACCAGUGGCGAAGGCGACUUUCUGGUCUGUAACUGACGCUGAUGUGCGAAAGCGUGGGGAUCAAACAGGAUUAGAUCCCCUGGUAGUCCACGCCGUAAACAAUGAGUGCUAAGUGUUAGGGGGUUUCCGCCCCUUAGUGCUGCAGCUAACGCAUUAAGCACUCCGCCUGGGGAGUACGACCGCAAGGUUGAAACUCAAAGGAAUUGACGGGGACCCGCACAAGCGGUGGAGCAUGUGGUUUAAUUCGAACCAACGCGAAGAACCUUACCAAAUCUUGACAUCCUUUGACAACUCUAGAGAUAGAGCCUUCCCCUUCGGGGGACAAAGUGACAGGUGGUGCAUGGUUGUCGUCAGCUCGUGUCGUGAGAUGUUGGGUUAAGUCCCGCAACGAGCGCAACCCUUAAGCUUAGUUGCCAUCAUUAAGUUGGGCACUCUAAGUUGACUGCCGGUGACAAACCGGAGGAAGGUGGGGAUGACGUCAAAUCAUCAUGCCCCUUCUGAUUUGGGCUACACACGUGCUACAAUGGACAAUACAAAGGGCAGCGAAACCGCGAGGUCAAGCAAAUCCCAUAAAGUUGUUCUCAGUUCGGAUUGUAGUCUGCAACUCGAUUACAUGAAGCUGGAAUCGCUAGUAAUCGUAGAUCAGCAUGCUACGGUGAAUACGUUCCCGGGUCU
rnacentral:rRNA from 1 species